ensembl:lncRNA
GUGGUUGGGACUGCAGACGGGGCUUAGCAGAGAUGCUUUAUGAGGUGUCAGCCCACAUAGCUUAAUUGGGACUGGAAGGCCCAGGAUGAUGUCGCUCGCCUUAUUGUGGUCUUGGUGCUGCUGCCUUUUGGCUGGAGUCAAUUAAGUCUCCUCCAUAAAGUUUCCUCCUAGUGGCCCGUCAUUUGGGAGUUAGCCUAGACUUUCUUACCUGGUUGUAGGGAAGGAGCAAAUUAGCCAAGAUGGCAGUGAUCAGGCUCUCUCGCCCCACGUUUUGUAAAUAAUAACUUUGCAUGUUUCUGUAACAGCUGAAAUUGUUUGUAGCACUGCAUGUGUGCAUCAUGCCUAUAUAAGUACCACCUGAAAAGCCCUUGGCAUGCGUUACGGCUGUGUCUGCUGGGUUAACCGUGAGCGAUUGCAACAUGUCUGCUGCUGCUGUGCCAGUCAGGAGAGAAUAAACCUAUCUGCAGUUCCUACGACUCCUCGAAUCUUCUUCCAGGUUCCCCGCUCUUGCCUUGCAUACUGUGUGUUCAACGAACAGUGAGACAGGGGUCCUGGUUUCCAACAGUGUGAAGGAAGAAGUUCUGGAGGUUGGAAAGUUAUGGACGCAGCAUCAUCAGAUUCAGUGUCCUGUGAAGACCCACUUGUUCGUAAACUGGUGAUUGUCACUCAGUCGUGCCCGACUCUUCGCAACCCCGUGGACUGUAGCCUGCCAGGCUCCUCUGUCUGUGGGAUUUCCCAGGUCUUAGUUGCAGCAUGUGGGAUCGAGUUCCCUGACCAGGGAUCGAACCCAGGCCUCCUGCAUUGGGAGCAUGGAGCCUUAGCCACUGGACCACCAGGGAAGUCCCUGUUGCCCCUUUGUUAAAGUAAAUUUAAUUUCUUAGACUGAGUGAGAAAUGAGUGUGACAUCAUCUUUUGGCAUUUUGAUCCAGGGGCUCUUGGUAGUAUCUUAAGACUCCCAGUCUCUGAUUAGGUGUUUAUCAGAAUAUUUUCAGUCUAUAUGAGUUUUUAAUGGAGGUUAAAAUGAAUAAAACAAUCCUUUCUGAGUCUGCUUAAGAGUUGUUUUUAAUCCAAUAUUUUUGAACAGAUUAAUUUUUGAGUGAUUCAAAACAGUAGCAAAAAGUAUAAAAUGAAAAUUUUUCCUUAUCUACUCAGUUCUAACCUAUCUGCCUACCUUCUGGAUAGCCAACAUAAGUGGUUUGUUAUAUGAUCCUGGGAAAUACUGAAGGUGGGAGAAGUGGACAACAGAGGUUGAGAUGGUUGGAUGGUAUCACUGACUCAAUGGACUUGAGUUUGUGCAAACUCUGAGAGAUGGUGAAGGACGGGGAAGCCUGGCGUGCUGCAGUCCAUGGGGUGGGUUGCAAAGAGUCGGACAUGACUGAGCGGAUGAGAAACAAUAGCAGUGUCUCAUUACAGAGUUUCUUCAUGCGUAUAAGCAAUAUAUUUCUUAUUUUACCCCUUUUACUCAAAAGGAAACAUACUGUAUAUUCUGUUUUCACUUUGCUUAAAAAAAAACUAACACUAGUUUUAAUAAUAGAGAUUUUCCCAUAUUAUUUAGCUAAAGAACCUUUUCCUUUUUCCCAACUGCAUAAUAUUCUGUCAUGUAAGAAUAUACUGAACAACUUAAUCAGCUUUCUACUGAUGUUCCCAAUUUUUUUGCUCUUACAAACUGUGCUAUAGGAAUAACCAGAUGUAUUUUUAAAUAUGAUUUUUGAUCUUACUGUUUUCUGUGAAUAUUUUCCCUCAUUUACUCUUUUUUUUUUUUUUUUUGAGUUUUUUUGAUUUUGUUUUUGCCAUGGAGAACUUUUUGAUUUUAUAUAGUCAGCUUUGUCAAUGUUUCUUCUGUGGCUUCUUUGGCAUCAUGGUAAGGAAAACCUUCCACACUUCGAGGUUAAAAAGAAGUUUCUGUUUUCUUCUAGUACUCACACUGCUUUAUUUUCACAUCUAAGUCUUUUAUCCAUUUAGAAUUUUCCUGAUAUAAAGUGUGAAUGUAACCUUUUAUUUCCAGAUGGCUGUCCAAUAGCUACAGCACAAUUUAUUGAAUAGUCCAUCUUUCCCUGACCAAUUUCAGAUAACAUCCUGUUCAUAUACUAAAUUUUCAUGUGUAUUUGAUUUAUUUCUUGACUCCCUAUUCUGUUUCUCUGGAUUUGUCUGGCUAUAUAUGUGUCAGGUUUUCUAAUUGGCUUUUAAUUAAUUAAACAAUAUUUUUUUCCUUUUGUUCAAUGAAUAAUGUGCUCUGCUGUUGUGUUCAGUCGCUCAGUUGUAUCCAGUUCUUUGUAGCCCCAUGGACUGUAGCCUGCCAGGCUCCUCUGUCCAUGGAUUUUUCCAGGCAAGAAUACUGGAGUGGGUUAGCAGUUCCUUCUCCAGGGGAUCUUCCUGAUCCAGGGAUCUAACCUGCAUCCCUUGCAUCAGCAGGUGGAUUCUUUACCACUAGUGCCACCUGAAAUAAGAUUUUUUUCUUUUGUUCAAUGAAUAAUAUGGACAGUAAACAUCUUGUGCUUUGGGCGGUGUAUUUCGAUUCUCCAGAAUAGACCGUGAAUAAAGUCAGAGGGUAGAUCUGCCCAUGCUUAGUUGUCCAGUUCUUUUGCUUUCAUCCUGCAGGCCAAUGUUUUCUUAGAUGUGUUGAUGCGAUGCUUAAAACAUUUAUUUUAUUAGUCAUAAUGGCUUCUUAAUAAUAGCUGUAUGAUUUGGACAUGAAAUAGAUCAUGUAAAUAAUCAAAGAUAAAAAGAGGACUUGCUCUUGCCUAGGUCUACAACAAAGGAAAAAUCAGAAAUAUGUGAAUAAUCACUUAGUACUCAUACAGUAAUUUUUCUUAUAAUGUAUUGUGUCAGUUAUUUCUUGCCAUAACUUGGUAGAUACUGUUGUUGCAUUUUAUGGAUGAACAAACCCAAGGCACAGAUUAGUCAGAUGAGCUCGGAUUCAUACAGGGAGUGGUGGAGCCUGGAUUUGAAUUUAGGUAGAGCUUUUUCUUUGUUUUGCUUUUGAGAUAACUAGAUGCACAGGAAGCUGCAAAAUCGUACAGAGAGGACCUGUGUACCUUUUACCCAGUUCCCUCCAAUGAUUACAUAAGAUGCAACAUAACCACUGGGGAAACUGGAUACAUAUAUUAUGUUUUACAUAUAUAUAUUUUUGAAACAAAUUGAAGGUUUGUGGCAACCUUGAAUUGAGCAGGUCUAUUGGCACCAUUUUCCCAACAGCAUUUGCUCACUUGGUGUCUCUGCAUCACGUUUUGGUAAUUCUUGCAAUACUUCAAACUUUUUCAGUAUUACUGUAUUUGUUGUGGUGAUCUGUGAUCAGUGAUCUUGAUGUUACUAUGGCAAAAAAAAGCUACAACUUGAAGGUUCAGAUGAUGUUUACAUUAUUUAGCACUAAAGUAUUUUUUAAAUUGAAGUAUAGUUGAUUUUCAAUGUGUAAGUUUCUGGUAUACAGCAAAGUGAUUCAGUUAUACAUAUAUACACAUAUUCUUUUUCAUAUUCUUUUAUCUUAUGAUUUAUUACAGAAUGUUGAAUAUAGUUCCCCAUGCUAUACUAUAGUACCUUGUUGAUUAUAUAUUUUAUACAUAAUAGUUUGUAUCUGCUAAUCCCAAACUCCUACUUUAUGCCCACCCCACCUCUUUCCCCGUUGGUAGCCAUAAGCUUGCUUUCUGUGUCUGUGAGUCUGUUUCUGUUUCAUAAAUAAGUUCAUCUGUGUCAUAUUUUAGAUUCUAUAUAUGUGACAUCAUAUGGUAUUUGUCUUUGACUUACUUCACUUGGUAUGAUAAUCUACAGGAAUAUCCAUGUGGCUGCAAAUGGCAUUAUUUCAUUCUUUUUUUU